rnacentral:rRNA from 1 species
UGGGGGAUAUUGCACAAUGGAGGAAACUCUGAUGCAGCAACGCCGCGUGAGGGAAGAAGGUUUUCGGAUUGUAAACCUCUGUUUUUAGUGAAGAAACAAAUGACGGUAGCUAAAGAGGAAGCCACGGCUAACUACGUGCCAGCAGCCGCGGUAAUACGUAGGUGGCAAGCGUUGUCCGGAAUUACUGGGUGUAAAGGGUGCGCAGGCGGGACUGCAAGUUGGAUGUGAAAUACCGGAGCUUAACUCCGGAGCUGCAUCCAAAACUGUGGUUCUUGAGUGGAGUAGAGGUAAGCGGAAUUCCGAGUGUAGCGGUGAAAUGCGUAGAUAUUCGGAGGAACACCAGUGGCGAAGGCGGCUUACUGGGCUCUAACUGACGCUGAGGCACGAAAGCAUGGGUAGCAAACAGG